UACAGAGGGUGCGAGCGUUGUCCGGAAUCACUGGGCGUAAAGCGCACGUAGGCGGAUUGCUAAGUCAGGGGUGAAAUCCUGGAGCUCAACUCCAGAACUGCCUUUGAUACUGGCGAUCUUGAGUCCGGGAGAGGUGAGUGGAACUGCGAGUGUAGAGGUGAAAUUCGUAGAUAUUCGCAAGAACACCAGUGGCGAAGGCGGCUCACUGGCCCGGUACUGACGCUGAGGUGCGAAAGCGUGGGGAGCAAACAGG
rnacentral:rRNA from 1 species